rnacentral:misc_RNA from 1 species
AACCUUAUGGACCUGCGGGCGUAUACCUGCGGAGGGAUCAUUACAGAGUUGCAAAACUCCCUAAACCAUUGUGAACGUUACCUAAACCGUUGCUUCGGCGGGCGGCCCGGGUCCUUCCCGGCGCCCCUCGGCCCUCGCGGGCGCCCGCCGGAGGUAAACCAAACUAUUGCAUUGUAUGGCCUCUCUGAGUCUUCUGUACUGAAUAAGUCAAAACUUUCAGCAACGGAUCUCAGAUCGGAA